UAGUGUUAUACACAGUUAUUUAUCAUUUUCUAUUAAUUCAGUUGUAGCCACUACAAUAUCUAUGACACUGGUAGUAAUUAUAAGAACAAUAAUGAUGUUCUAUAAGAGGAAAUGAUGAUUAGGAACAAAAACUUACAGAAGAUAUCAUGCGGUGGAUGGAUAAUAUGCAAAAAAUAUUAAGCAGUAUAUGAAUUUUCCUAUUGCGUAGAGAUAACAAAAUGAAUUUUAAAAAAUGUCGACACGGUAAUAAGAAAUAGCAUCAUGACAAAGAAUAUAUAAAGACAGUUUCAUUUUUUAUAAAUAAAAAUUUGUUGUUCCAGAUUUUGAAAUACAGUGAAACGUUUAAUUAGUAUCUUAAUAUCUUUAAAUAAUUAUUAUUUUAGAAUCAAUUGUAAUUGUAUCAUACGUACUUUUGAAUUCGUGCAAGAACAUAUGUAAUUUUGAAGUAGUUAUUAUUAGGAAACUGUUAGACGCGAACAGUAUGCGAAAAGUUAGUAUGUAGUGUAAUAAUUAUCAAUCAAAGCACAAGAAUUAAAUUCUUUAGGAAAAAAUUUCCGGAAUUUCUUAUUUACAUGAUUAUAAAGAAAUCCAUAACAAAAAGGAGCUGCUUUCUAAUA